rnacentral:lncRNA from 1 species
GCCUAGGUAGUUUAUUAGAUCUAAUCUAAUGUAUGCGUAGUAAAUUAAAUUGUUUAAUCUAAGUCAUUUUCACUAAAAAUUGUAAAAAUAUAUGCAUGAAACUACCUAUGUUUCCUUCAUAAGGAACUUAUCAUAUAAACAUUAUAAAAUAAUUAUAAGUUUAAAAGAGAAAUUUAGAUUAAGAUUGUAUCGGGUCGGGUUCAGGGCAAGAUACACCAUUAUCCAUAGUCGAG